ensembl:lncRNA
UGACAUCACAAAACCCCAUACUUGGGCUGGAACUGUUAGAAAUGUUCAAGUGCAUGUGGGGAAGUAAAACUGUAACCAUGUGGCUUUGGGAAGUCAUAGCAUGCCCAGCCUAUUACUUGCUUCAGUAGCUGGGUGCAACUAGAUCAGCAUUCAUAAAAACAACAAGCUGGCUGAGAAACAAGGAUACUUGAAUUCCUACUUCUUGGAACCUAUGCAGGAACUUCUGUCAACCUACUACAAGAUCCACUUACCCCCAGCUGAGGUCAGCAAAGAGAUGGCAGCUGAGGGACAUCAUGUCAUCCAUGACUGACGUCAUGGCGUCUGAAAUGGAAGCGUUUAUGAAGCAAAGGUGUGGAAUUGAAUUCCUCCAUGCAGAAAAAAAUGGCACCCACUGACAUUCAUAGAUGCUUGCUGAACACUUAUGGAGACCAAACAGUGGAUGUGAGCACAGUGAAGCGGUGGAUGGUGCGUUUCAGCAGUGGGGACAGUGACAGUGGGUCACCUCCGCUGGUGCAAAUUUUUACAUGCACGGCAUGAAGCUCUCGUUCAUCCCUGGCAAAAAUGCACAGCUAAUGGUGGUGACUAUGUUGAAAAAUAGUGUUUUGUAGCUGAGAAUUUCUCUAUCAAGUAGUGUUAUUGUGCUCUUUGUAUCUGUUGUAGUUUCCAUGGAAAUAAAC